UAGUCCACGCCGUAAACGAUGAGUGCUAGUUGUUGGGCCUUGAGCUCGGUGACGUAGUUAACGCGUUAAGCACUCCGCCUGGGGAGUACGGUCGCAAGAUUAAAACUCAAAGGAAUUGACGGGGACCCGCACAAGCGGUGGAGCAUGUGGUUUAAUUCGAGGCAACGCGAAGAACCUUACCAGUCCUUGACAUCCCGAUCGCGAUUAAUGGAGACAUUUUUCUCAGUUCGGCUGGAUCGGUGACAGGUGCUGCAUGGUUGUCGUCAGCUCGUGUCGUGAGAUGUUGGGUUAAGUCCCGCAACGAGCGCAACCCUCGCCUUUAGUUGCCAGCAUUUAGUUGGGCACUCUAGAGGGACUGCCGGUGAUAAGCCGGAGGAAGGUGGGGAUGACGUCAAGUCCUCAUGGCCUUUAUGCCCAGGGCUACACACGUGCUACAAUGGCCGGUACAAAGAGUCGCUAAGCCGCGAGGUAGAGCUAAUCUCAGAAAGCCGGUCUCAGUUCGGAUUG
rnacentral:rRNA from 1 species